GCUGUAGGGAGGAGAAGAAGAAAUUCUGCAUUCACUCUGUAGGAUUAAAGCGGGCUUUAUUCUCCUAGUCUCGCCAGGGGAAGAGCAAAUGCUGAGAUCCUCACCUGAGCAGAGACGGCUGGCAGAAGGCCAGGAGCAAGACAGGGAGGCCACUAGGUGGCACAGGCUCUGAUGGUGCAUGCACGCUGAAAGAAGCAGAAUUCCAGACAGUGAGCCCUGGGAGAGGUGGGUCUAAAUUGUGGACUGUCUGGAGGGCUGAGUUAUGGGAAGAGAGAACGUCACAGGAAGCUUUGUCAGGGACACUAGAGAGGCAAGAGCCUGCUACACCACAUUCAGCUAUGAGGAGGCAUUCUAGCCGUGAGUUCUCUCUCUCCAACCACUUUCAUCUCCAGUAUCUGCUACUAUAUAACAAAGAAUUCCUUUGAGAGAAAUGGGAGACGGUUCAAGCUUAACUCAAUGCUAUUGUUCCAGGUUCUCUGCAAACUCCAGCACAGAUUAUUGAAUGGGUUCAUAUUUUGAAGGUUAUCUUUGCUAAAAAUAAAGGGCUGAAGAAUUAUUAUUUAAUAAAAAUCUGAUCCUGGAUCACAAUUAUGUUCAGGGCUUUGUGAGGAUCUGCUGGUCUGGAACAUGGAACUGCAAGUUCCUAGGCAGUUGCUGUGUCCACACUGCCACCUCCGUUGAAAUUGAAAACAGCAGCCUAUGAUCCCUACAGGUUCAAACAACCUGAGAUGUCCUGCCCAUGGAGGUUCUUACUGGUAAAGCCUACUGUGUUUCCUGAUUUCCCGAGGUCUUAAAUAGUGUGCCUGGGCCAAACACCUGCAACCUGUCUGUGCAAUUAGACAGAUACCUGGCUUGCUGCUGAGAACAAACCUUGCUCUGCACUCCUGAGGCCUUGCCUUGCUCCUGGUAUCUGGCCUACUCCUAGUCCUGGUUCCUGAUCCUUGGCUCUGCUCCUGAUGUCUUGCCUUCCCUCAGUUCCUGGCCCCCAGCUCCACUCCUGACUUCUUGCCGUGCCUCCGUUCCUACUUAAACUGAUUCACUUGACUCUGACCUGGUGCAGCUCAUCAACCUCGACUAUGACUUGAUCCUAUGGCACAACACUGGGAUGGACAGCUACUCUGGCCAUCACCCUGUGGAGACUGAACUCAGACCACAUUCUCAUGUCUGCUCCAACCAGGCUCUGGCCUUCAUCUGCUCUUCCUCCCUCCCCACAGUAGCUGGGGUCCUGACAGCUUCCAAUUUUUUACUUUUAAUCAAUAAACAUUUGAUUAAAUACCCCAAUACAAAAAAAAGGUGUUUAUCCAAUGAACACCAGAAAUGGUUACUUGUACCCAAAGUCUUGUCUACAUGGAGCAGUAAUGCAGACUAUGUUUUUAAGCUAACAAAUGUGUGUAAGAGCAGGACCAAUUUAACUUAAAUUUAUUCUAUAAUGCUUUUUUUGUACACACAAACAUUCAGAACCUGAAAACUACAUUGAUUUGGGAGUUGCUAGCAGUACCAAAAUAGCUCCUAGGAACCAGCAGGGAGUUUUAGGCCAAGGUUUUCAAAACUGUCUAAGGGAUUUUUGGAAGCUCAAUUCCCAUUAAAACAAAAGAGAGAGAAGCAUCAAACCCCCUAUGCACCUUUUGAAAGCGCUGUGUUUAAGGCAGCUGGGUUGCCUUAAAGUAGCUGGUGAAGCAGGACACAAACUGAAGAACGUGGUGGUAUGUUCAAGCUCUGCUCAAAUGAGGUACCAGCACUAUUGAUGAUGCAGAUGUUCAAAAUCUAAUAUGCAAGCUCGGCUGGUCCUUUCACAGUGGGAGGGAGCAAGCUCAGAUAUGACUUUGGGCUGUAUUAGGGUGGAGGCAGCUUAGCCCAGCUACCAGACUCAUGUUAUGGUGUCAGAAUCUAAGCAUUUAUUAACAAAAAAGUAUGCUUCUAGCCCUUGUGGCAGUAAACAAAAGUAUGAAAACGUGAAGUAAGUAUAACUAAUGUCUGCCUGUGUCUGCAGCGUUCUACAUGUAGACAAGCCCACAGAGUUUUCUCUCUCUCUCCACUUGAAAUUCCUGGAUACAGCCUGGC